rnacentral:lncRNA from 10 species
UUUCAUCUCAUUUGUCUAGCUCUGUCAUAGAAGCUGUAAAACUACAAACUCCGUCUCUCUGUUCCCUUGUAGGGAGAGAUGGUCAAUGAGAUGUAAGUGAAAUCACUAAGGAGGACUUCCCUUCCUGAAUAAAAUGACAAUACCUCAGUACAAGAAAUGUCUUUUUCCCUUGUCCCUCCACUCCCGACCUCUUGCUACUAUCUUCCCGGAGACAUGAAACUUAGAAGUGGAGCAGCCACCACUGUCCAUGGGAUGACAAGUGUGAGGACAAAAGCCAGUGUAACAAAGAAGGGCAGAAUGGACAGGUGAGAGCAGCCUGGGUCCCUCUUUUAUGGCAACUCUGAGCAGUUGCUAUGCUGACGGGGGACUGCCUAUGUUUGCACUUGCUAUGAGGGGAAAAGCAACUGUUGAUCAGGCUUCCUAUUGUUCUCAGAUAAAUUUUAUUCCUAACUGAUCCAUCACUGAGAAGUUACUAUAUUGGCAUAUAGACCAUAAAUAUAUUUAUAAUGUUGACUUUAGACAUUAUCCUUUCUAAAGAAGCCCUGUGGGCUUUAGACAAAGCUAAGACUUUAGAAGUUUAAGCUUCUUUGUUGUUAUUUCUAAAAAGCAUGUAUUAAGUGCCUAAAUUGUCAAUACCAGGCAAUCUGCCAAGUGUUCAUGCCCUAACAACAUUUCCUGAGCCAAAGGCACAGUUUGACAUAACACCUGAUUAUGGGGUGAAUAUUUUCAACAGAAUUGUGCUAGAAAAUCCAGGCUGUCUGUUGUUCUACUUGACGCAGGCUGUGAUUUCUUCAGGGUAGGCACCAGGUCAGAGCAAAUACAUCACUAGAAACAAUAAAUGAAAUAGCAACAGACAACAAGGUGUUUGCAUUAUGACAGGCCAAAUUUGAUCUAAAGGGUAAACAACAAACAAAGGUAUCUAAUUGGAAAAAGAACUGAGAAAGGGUAAGAGUUUCACAUUUUGAAAAGCAGGUUGGUAAUUUGUUAUUUGAUGGUGAGGAUAUUCAGGAAUGUUGCCAUUCUGUGGUUCACAGCAGGAGAAUUUCAUGGAAGAGGAUUUCCAUGAGCUCACAGGCUGUUUAAAGAACUGGAGAGAACUGAAUUGGCAAAUGGGGGAAAAUAUUAGGUUGGUGCAAAAGUAAUUGCAGUUUUUGCCUUUACUUGCAAUAUGUUAUAGGCACGUGAUUCUGCCUUGGAAGGUCAUAAAGACAAAAGGUUGGCCUUCCCUGGAGCAAAACAUAGAAAUAUGUCCCCUGGGGCCGUGUCAUAUGCCAGUCCUGUAAGCAGCAUGGGGGACAGUGAUGGUCUACUUAGGUAAGGCAAAAGUGAUUGACUGAGAAGUAGAAGGAAGUAAAUCUCAUUAAAUGUUGAAUUUCACUGGGGUCUGUUUCUGACACACUUCUUACUUUUAUGCAUUUAACUAUGUGCUGGAUAACUUUCAGAUUUUUAUUUCUAAACUGUCUUAGUCUGUUUAUGUUGCUGUAGAGGAAUAUCUGAGACUGGGUCAUUUAUAAAGGAAAGAGCUUUACUUGGCUUAUGGUUCUUCAGGCUGUACAAGAAGCAUAGUACCUGCAUCUACUUCUGGUAAGGGCUUCAGGCUGCUUCCAACCAAGGCAGAAGGUGAAGGGGAGCUUCUGUGUGCAGAGAUAACAUGGUGAAAAAGGAAGCGAGAGAGAGAGUGGGGAGGUGCCAGACUCUUUUUAACAACCAGCUCUGGCAGGAACUAAUAGAGCUAGCACUAGAACUCACUCAUUACUGUGAGGACAGGCUGCAAGACAUUAUUGAGGGAUCUGCCCAUGACCCAAACACCUCCCAUUAAUGGCCUCUCCUCCAACAUUGGGGAUCAAAUUUCAACAUGAAGUUUGGAGAAGUCAAAUAUCCAAACCAUAGCACAAACCUAAUCUUCCAAAUUUUCCAGCGUUCUCUCCCUGGAUUUUUGCAGUUACUUCUAAUUCACCGUAUCUGCAAAUAAACUCAUUAAAGUGUCUUUUCUUCCUGUACAUUAUGUUUCUCAUUCUGUAUUUUUGACAACUAUUUAUUGAGUGCCUACACUGUGCCACUCAGUGUGCUAGGGCUGGGGAUACAAGGGUGAGCAAGACCAGACCACACCCUCUUUCCUUUACUCCAACCUCCAUCCUUUUCCAUACUGCUUCCAGGCAGCUUUAUCCAAAACUCAUGUCUCAAUUUUUUUUUUUUGAAAUGGAGUCUCACUCUUCAACUCUUCGUCACCUAGGCUGGAGUGCAGUGGUGCGAUCUCGGCUUACUGCAACUUCUGCCUACCGAGUUCAAGCGAUCGUCCCACCUCAGCCUCCCCAGUAGCUGGGAUUAUAAGCGUGUGCCACCAUGUCCAGCUAAUUUCUGUAUUCUUAGUAGAGACAGGGUUGGCCAGGCUGGCCUUGAACUCCUGACCUCAAGUCAUCCACCUACCUCGGCCUCCCAAAAUGCUGGGAUUACAGGCAUGAGCCACCGCUUCUGGCCAUGUCUCAAAUUUUUAUAUCCAAACUAUCUUAGUGCAUUUGCAUUGCCAUAAGGGAAUAUCUGAGACUGGGUAAUUUAAUAAAGAAAAGAACCAUUUCACUUUCCUGGCUAAAGCUUUUCUAGUGAUUUAGUGUUUUAUGUUGUAAAGUUACUCUAGAUUUUUAGCUUAGUUGUCGUUUUCUUCUUCCUCUUGAACUUUACAUUUGAGCAACAUCAACCUAUUCAUAGUUUCUUGAGCACGCUAUGGCAUUUCAUGAUUCUGAGCCUUUGAUCAUUCUGUACGGUCCCUGUAGAUCCACUUUCUUCUUUCAUCUUUGUUUAACUCCCACUUUACUUCUGUCUCACAUGCCUUUUCUGUGCUCAUAGUGGUUCUUAUUUACCCCAUUAUAGCACUCAGCACAUGUGGAGGAAAAGUUAAAUAUUAAAUUUGAACUCAAUUGAACGUGGACACAAACAGUAGUCACCAAGUCCUGGAACAGGUUGUGUGAGCCCCUUGAGGCAUUCAUUCAGCACUGUUUCAGAGAAAUCUCUAUUUCAAUCUAUUCCUAUAUGUUAGUUAUCGAAAAACAACAAACAAUCGCAAAAACAAGUUGACCUUUUUGUGCUCCUUGAGCCAAGUCGUGAAGGGCCCUCAUGACUGGGCCUCAUGCCAAACAACUCAUUACAAAAAGAGCUAGGGUCCCAGACCAUGCUGAAUCUUCAUGAGACCUCUCCUCGUCUGUGCAUGGAUGGGUGGCUGACUCUGGAGCCCAGGCUGUUGCUUCCCAGUCUGGUGAUGAUUCCUCCAUAGUCUGGUGAAUGUGUAUCUAUAUGUUUUCCCUUCUCC